AUUGAACGCUGGCGGCAGGCCUAACACAUGCAAGUCGAGCGGGGUUUUCGGACCUAGCGGCGGACGGGUGAGUAAUGCGUAGGAAGCUGCCCGAUAGAGGGGGAUACCAGUUGGAAACGACUGUUAAUACCGCAUAAUGUCUACGGACCAAAGUGUGGGACCUUCGGGCCACAUGCUCUCGCAUGCGCCUACGUGGGAUUAGCUAGUGGGUGAAGUAAUGGCUAACCAAGGCGACGAUCUCUAGCUGGUUUGAGAGGAUGAUCAGCCACACUGGAACGGAGACACGGUCCAGACUCCUACGGGAGGCAGCAGUGGGGAAUAUUGGACAAUGGGCGCAAGCCUGAUCCAGCCAUGCCGCGUGUGUGAAGAAGGCCUUCGGGUUGUAAAGCACUUUCAGCGAGGAGGAAGGGUGGUGUGUUAAUAGCACAUCAUUUUGACGUUACUCGCAGAAGAAGCACCGGCUAACUCUGUGCCAGCAGCCGCAGUAACAC
rnacentral:rRNA from 1 species